UACGUCAUCAGCACGCGAACAAACUGGCGCGUGAUUGUAUUGUGAAACGCGAGAGGGCGCAAGGUUACAGCUUUUCGUUUAAAGACUUCAUUAGUCGAUUAAAUAUAUUUCAUAAUAAUUGUUAGUUUCAAGAUAAAUUUAGGAUAAAAAAAGACCACCCACAAAGUAUAAAUGAAAGUCAGUGGACAGAUUAUUCAUGUGCACAUUCUCUUAAUAAUGAAAGUUUUUUUUUUAUCACUUUUUCAUCUUUGCAAUAUUACAAAAUGCAAUUCAUAAUGAUAUCAUCGCUUAGGAAGUGCCAUCAACAUUUUGGAGGGAAGAAACAUGGAAAACAACAGUACCAGUAAGUAGCUGUUACAUUUAUAUUUAGUAUAUUUUAUCUAUCCAAAUAAGCGACUUACAAAUGCAUUGGACUUAAUACAUUCUGUGCUAUUUUGUGUGAACAAAUUUGAUUGGUGCAUUUAAUAUUUAUUAUUGCAGUUCAGAUAAUAAAAGAUGUAUGUCUAUAGGCCCUGAAGUUCCAGCUCAUCAAACGUUAUCUGUAUGCUUUCCUUCUUAUAUUGCAGUUCAGUUGCAGUGAUAUUUAUUUUUCUACUAAAUUGUGCAGCCCUGCACAAAAAAGCCUUUUCCUCUCACUCAUGUUGCUCUCAUGUUUUUCUUUCUUCCAUGAAACACAAAAUGAGUAGCCUAAUUAUAUUGCAAUUAUUUUCUCAUAAGUAAAUGAGAACUACAUGAGAGAAAAAAAGAAGCAAUUAAGUUUGUGCACAAUUUCUUCUUCUACAGUGCAAACAGCACUUCUGGUAUAUGUAACCUGAGAAGUUCUCACUAUAUUAUAGAUGUCAGCAUCACUGUGUAUCACAGAUGCGGCAGAUUUUAAUGUGCAAAUCCAUUACAUGGCUUCAGAUGACUUGGAAUAUAUUGCAAUGUAUGCAGUACUUUAUGGCAGGAAGCUGAGCACUACUGACAGAACUGACAGUCCAUGUCUUGACAACAAUUACAGCCUGACAUGGACCAGCUUCUGGAUAUAAGGUUCAACCUUUUCUCCUGAUGAGUGCCAUCUGAUGGAAUUCAAAUGGGAGGAUGAGGACAGUGCUUGCAGGCCAUUUACGGUCACAGAACUUAAGACUGAUGCUCUAUGACAGUGCCAAUCCUUUUUGUUUCUUAUUUGAUGGACUGACUGAAUAAUUUAUUUAUACAGUAUAUAGAGGUGUGACUAUGUUUCUCUGUUCCAAAAGUUAUAGUGUGCUGUCUGUCAAGGAGACAUAUUAAAGGAAUAGCUCAGCCAAAAAUGAAAAUUUGCAGAACGUUUCUCACCCUCAGGCCAUCCAAGAUGUAGAUGAGUUUGUAGAAGGGUGCCGUCAGAAUAAGAGUCCAAACAGCUGAUAAAAACAUCACAAUAAUCCACAAGUAGUCAAUCAGUUAUUUGAAGUGAAAAGCUACACGCUUGCAAUAAACAAAUCCAUCAUUUAGGCA
ensembl:lncRNA